UCUCUAUUUAUAGAGUCAUUGGGCUCAUAUAGCCGUUGUAGGGUGUCCAAUGGUGUUAUGCCAUGUGUCCUGGGUCCCACAAGCUUUUACUGAAAUUUUCGGCAAACAUUCUGAUCACUGAUGAACUUCAUGUUGUUGUGUUCAUGAUGAUCUUCAUCUGGGUUCAUCAUGUAUGAAUGUACACAUGAAUUUAUGGGCGUGUCAUAUGCUUUUCAUAUGAGUUUCUGGGCAAUAAUUAAAGUAUGGGCUUUUCCACAUACAUCAUAAAGUGGCUGCCAAAAAUCUCUAUCACUUCUCAGCCAAACAAAUGGAUUCCAAAUUUGUGGUGAGUUUGACUAAUCUCAAGACCACAUAUAGUCGAUAUGUGCUUGCAAAAGUCAAAGAAAUGAUCCUUAAUUGGAUACUCCCUCUGUCUCACACUAAUUGUCUUUUUAAUAUUUUUUCUUUUUCUCAAAAUAAUUGUCACUUUACAUAACCAAUGCAACAUUUUUUUCCCAUUAUUAUACAUUUAUUUAAUUAAUUUCAUUCAACUUAACUACUCCACUAACUACAAUUAAUAAGGGUAUUUUAGUAAAUGAUAUUAAUUUUACCAUUGAAAUCAACACAAUUAAUCAUUUCCUAAAUUAAUCGUGCAGAAACCUUAAAGACUAUAAUUUAGAAACGAAAGGAGUAGAUAAAAAGACUGUGAAUCUUCUGUUCUACUUUGUCAAUAUUCACUUGCGGAAGAAAUUGGUUUGGGUGAUAGGUUUUAGAUAUUAGUUUGCUAAACCACUCUUGAUUUAAGUACUCUCAAAAUGUAAUGUUGUCCAAGCAUUAGCUUAUUUAGCUAUGUGUGCUACCUUUAAUGUGUUGAUGAGGAAUGUCUCUACACAUUGUAUUUUAAUAAUUUGUAAUGCUCUUUGUUUCAAUCAAUAAAAUUAUAUGUUUACCGUAAAAAAAA
rnacentral:lncRNA from 1 species